CGGCGCCAGACCUAGGGUAUUUGCAGGCACAUCCCGGGUCCCCGGGAAGUGCGUCGGGCGGGGCCUGGAAGCAGGGACGAGUCUGGGAACACCGAGAAGAAGGGCCGCCCCGCCGAGCAGAGGUGACCCUGUGGUGGGCGGUGGUCGCGCACAGGCCGUGACUCUCAGGUAGGCGAAGGGCACAGGGCGGGCGGGAACUGCGGCCCUGGGAGGAGGAGAUCGGAAGUGGGGAGGCCACCCCGGGGGCAGGCGCCGCCCCGGCCCCCGACUUCCCGCCGGGCCCCUCUCCCAAAGUGCGCCACCUGCACGCUUUGAUGGGCACCCGCGCCGCCACUGGGGGAGCCUGUUGUCAUGGGAACGCGGGAGGCUGGGCCCACGUUCCCAUGGCCACCCCGGGCCUCUGAGCCAAAACUGCAACUGAGAGGCAGUGGUCCUCCUGGAGGCAGAUCAUUCGGAAUUUGAGAAAGGCCUGGGCCCCUCCUCAUAUGGCCCUGGCUAUGACCCGUGAAUCAGGUUCUCUGUCAUAGCUUCUAUUCUCUGAGUGACAACGUGGUUGUAGGGGUUAGGAGGGAAAGGACGUUGGGGUCUUGGAAACUGAGGUUGCCCCAGUGGGCUCUCUGGAACCAUCUUGGUCUGGCAAAAAGAGUCAGGGGCCUGGGUCACCUGUGUAAGGUCAUCGACCUCUGCUCACAUUUCCUCACCAGUAAUGUAUGUUGUUUGGCUUAUGAAUUGCAAGUUUCUUAUAAGAGUCGAAUGCCAUAGGACUGGGAAGCGCACAAUUAAGAAUUUUUUUUUUUUGCCCAGAGAUGAUUUAGCCUUUGGUUCAGAAAUCUACCCAGUCCCACUCCCUUAUUUUCAUAGAAGAAACAGAAUCCAGAGAAGUUAAAUUACUUCCCAAGAUGAUAAUGAGUUGGCAAGGUCAGGAUUUGAACCCAGUCUCCUGACUUCCGGGCUGUGCGAUUCUUUGCACUGGUGCUUAUUAUUACUGAAGUUCAGGGAAAUCUGAGAAGAAGUAGGUGGCAUAGGAUGAGAUGGUUAGAUAGCAUCACUGACUCAAUGAACAUGAAUUUGAGCACACUCUGGGAGAUAGUGUAGGACAGCGGAGCCUGGUGUGCUGCAGUCCAUGGGGUCUCAAAGAGUCAGACCCAGCUUAGCAACUGAACAACAAUAACAGGGAAAUCUGGGUUAUGUCUCUCUGGGGCUCAGACUUUUGGGGACAGGCAGCCUAAAGAUGAGGACAUUGGCAGCUGGUGAACUGAAGAUGGGGAAUGGAGGCUGCAUCUUGGGGAAAACAGAGAGUCUCUCUCCCUGGUCCUAUACCUUGGAACUCUUGCUUUAAUGUAUUAUCUGACGGGAUUACCCUAAAAAAAACCCAGGGAACAAGCAUUCAGCAGCUUUCCAAAAUACUGGCUCUUAUGAAGCCAACAAAUCUGUUGAGACUGUGUGAGCAAGAAAUCCUUUGGCUGCCCUAAAGCAGGGAAGUGGGACGUCCCACAUCAGAGAGGUGCCUUUCCUUUGAAAAGAUUAAGAGGAAGGUGGAAAAAAAGAUCCAGGAAGGAACACCUGAAUGAAUCAUUUGGAAAUGAUUUGAGACAGUCAGCUAGAACAGAAAACUCACUUAUUCAUUUUAGUAAACAUUUACUGAAAAUGAAAGUCGCUCAGUGGUGUCCAACUCUCUGCAACCCCAUGAACUGUCGCCCACCAGACUACUCUGUCCAUGGGAUUCCCCAGGCAAGAAUACUGGAGUUGGUAGUCAUUCCAGUAGUAGGUAGACAUUACCUUUUCCAGGGAAUCUUCCCUACCCAAGGAUCGAACAUUGCGUUGCAGGCUGAUUCUUUACCGUCUGAGCCACCUGGAUGCCUGCUAUUUCCAAACUCUUCACUGGGGAUGGAGAUUAAAAACCUGAGUUAGGCAGGUCUAGUCCCUGCACUCAAGGAGCUUGUAGUAGAAGAGAAGAAUGAGAUGUGUAAAUGAGUAUUUCACUACAGAAACACGAGUGCCUUAAUGGAAAUCUGAGCAGAGUGCAGAGGCAGCUCAGAGGAGCCAUUCCAGAAAUGGCAGUUGAAAAUGGCACGAUUCUAGCCUUUGAAGCCUGGCAGCACGUCUGGAGCUCUGCCGGGCUGGCCCUUCAUCAGAGACAAAGGAGUAGGUGAGUGAAAGUGUCUAAAGAAAUGUGGACAAGAAUGGGUAUUCUCUGGGAAGAAGAAUUUAAGGAAUCUUGAUGAACUGGAAGCUCUGUGAAGGCAGAACCAUGUCAGUUUCUUCAACUUUAGCGAUGCUUAGAUGCAGCAAGUGCACAAGAAAUAUUGAAUGAGUGAAAGAAGAAGGGAAAAAAGGGGUAGGGAGAGAGGGAGGAAAGUACAGUAGCUUAUGUUAUCAAGAGGGGGAUGGUUAUAGCUUGAGACAAAACCCUGGUUGAAAUUCUGCCGUAUGUAGAGCAUCUCCACAGAGUUCUGGAGUCCCAUCCAGUUUCUGGUCCUAGUACUGACUUGCCAUAUAUGUGACCUUAGCAAGUCCCUGAACCUCUCUCUGCCCCCAUUUCUCAACUAUAAAGUGGGAAUAUCAUAAUUCCUGUUUCACCUUGUUGUGAGAUGUAAGUAAAUGAUUGGAUGUAAAAAAGCUCAGCUCAGUGCCUUGGUUAUAGAAAGUACUCAAUAAAUGUUGCUGCUGCUGCUGCUGCUAAGCUAAGUCGCUUCAGUCGUGUCUGACUUUGUGCGACUCCAUAGACGGCAGCCCACCAGGCUCCGCCGUCCCUGGAUUCUCCAGGCAAGAACACUGGAAUGGGUUGCCUCUUCCUUCUCCAGUGCACGAAAGUGAAAAGUGAAAGGGAAGUCGCUCAGUCGUGCCUGACUCUUAGCGACCCCAUGGACUGCAGCCCACUAGGCUCCUCUGUCCAUGGGAUUCUCCAGGCAAGAGUACUGGAGUGGGGUGCCAGUGCCUUCUCCGCAAUAAAUGUUAGCCUUAUAAAUAUCAGUUUUGCUUUAGGUGGGCGUGCAUGCUUAGUCAAGUCUGCCUCUUUGUGACCCCAUAAUAUAGCCCACCAGGCUCCUCUGUUCAUGGGAUUUUUCAGGCAAGAAUACUGGAGUGAAUUGCCAUUUCCUCCUCCAGGGGAUCUUCCCAACCCAGGGAUCAAACCCAAGUUUCCUGUGUCUUCUGCAUUACAGGCAGAUUCUUUACUGGCUGAGCCAUUGGGGAAGCCCUUAGGUGGGCAUAAUUUGCCUAAUAAUUCAUGUCAAGUGAGUAAGUAAAUAAAGUAGCUCAGUCGUGUCCAACUCUUUGCGACCCCAUGGACUGUAGCCCACCAGGCUCCUCUGUCCAUGGAAUUCUCCAGGCAAGAAUACUGGAGUGGGUUGCCAUUUCCUUCUCCAGGGGAUCUUCCUAACCCAGGGAUCGAACCCGGGUCUCCUGCAUUGCAGGCAGACACUUUAUCCUCUGAGCCACCAGGGAAGCCCCAAUAACUCUCUUUUUUUUUUUUUUUACUUUAUUUUACUUUACAAUACUGUAUUGGUUUUGCCAUACAUUGACAUGAAUCCACCACGGGUGUACAUGCGUUCCCAAACAUGAACCCCCCCUCCCACCUCCCUUCCCAUAACAUCUCUCUGGGUCAUCCCCGUGCACCAGCCCCAAGCAUGCUGUAUCCUGCAUCGGACACCAAUAACUCUUAAUUCUGGUAUUUCUUUUUACCUAAUAAAGACUAAUUCUAAAAGUUCCUGUCUUCAGACGAAAAUGCCCCAAACAAAUUAUCUUCACUUUUUUGGGUUGGGGAGGGGAGGAGGGCAACAAUCUCUUUGAAAUCAAAUAAAAGCUGAUUACUGUCAUCAUUCUUGGGGUUCACAUCUCACUGAGGCCGACUCUGUUGGUUAAGGGACUCCCUGCUCUGCUCCACUGCUCACAGGCUGUAAGGAAAGAGUGAAGGCAGUGUUCAUAGAGGAGGAGCCUGAGAGGAGCAAGGUGGGUCUGCUCCCUUGCAGAGUGGACUGGGUGGAUCAGGCCCUGGGUCCAGGCCCCUUAGAGCCCCUCCUUUUUUAAAAAAAUAUAUUUUCGUCUAUUAUUUUGGCUGUGGCGGGUCCUGCUUGUGACAUGUGGGACCUUCAAUCUUAGUGUUGGCGUAUGUGAUCUUUAGCUGUGGCAUGUGGGAUCUAGUUCCCUGACUUGGGAUCAAACCUGGGCCCCCUGCAUUGGGAGAUCAGUAGCCACUGAACCACCAGGCAAGUCCUCCUCCCCCAACUCCUUUGCUAGAGCUGAGCUGCGCCCACUCAGAGCCUUAUGGUGUCCUCCAGCCCGGUGCUCAGUACUGGGGUGCUGUCAGGCAUCCCAGGAGUCUCAGGCCUGGAGAGCUGCUGUGUAAGACCCCUGUCUGAGCAUGGAUCUGGGGUGCUACCCACAUACCGGCUUUUUGUGGGCAUCUUGUUCUGGUGCCGUGGUCUAGGCUGGCAGGUGGGCACACCGCGGCAGUAAUACAUUCUUCCUUCCAUUCUAGCAGAGCAGUCUUUGGCGCCACAGGAAAUCAAUGGAACCCACCCGUCCAUCCCCCACCCAAUGGGCUCACCUGUCUAGGCCCACUCUUCAGAGGCAGGGCUGGAACCAACAGCAAGGCUCUCUUGAAGUAAGAGCCGGAGCCACCAGGUGACCUAAGGUGAUGGAACCACGGGGGCUUGGAGGGCCCCACCUCUUUGGGAUGAGAGAGCCUUGGUCCUCUGGGUAGGAAGUUUCCUUCUUGGGAGUGAGGAAAGGCCUUGGCUAGGUCUUCUCUCCCUCCAUGUAGCAAUGGCCAGAGGCCUAGGGCUCAGAGUGGGACUUAAAGAGGAAGAACUGGGGACGAAUGGGGAGGUAGAUUCCUGGUUUCUCGAGAUCUCGGGACUGGAAGGGUCUCAUAAGCCAGUCUGGAAACCAGACUAUCCUAGAGGCUUAUGCUCCUUGCUUCCCAUCCUUACCCAGCCUAGGACAUCUGCCUCAUACCUCUGAGUGGCUGCAGUGGUUUCAGGGGAAAGAGAGUCACUGGACAGUAAUUGUGCCCCUUUGGGGUGACAGGUGCCACGCGUCAGCCAGGCCGAUCAACCAGGCUCUCCGGGCCCCCUGAAGGACAGGCCUGGGGGCCCAGGCAGACAGCCUCUCUGGAACCUGCAUCGGGAGCACGGGUGUGAUGGUAGCAACCUACCGUGUUCUACCGUGUUCUACCGUGUCGAGUCAGGGACAAGCUGAGCCCGGCUGGUUGCACCACAGCCCUGUGGGGCAGGGGGGUCCCCUCCCAGGGAGUGGCCAACUCAGGCCCCGACAGGCCCCGGUGGGGGUGGCGCUGGGGCGGGCAGCGAGCUCUUCACCGCAGCAGGCGCACCCAGGGCCUGGGCUGGGCGAGCCGGUUCCUUCUCCCCGUGAGACUUGCAGCCUCAGCACUGGGUUGGUAGGAGGUGGCCGAACCUGAGCAGAGAGCCCAGAAGAGGGUCCUCUAGCUUGGACAUCUUAGGAUGGCUGUGGCCAUGUUUAGGUAAAUGAGGCGAACCCAUAAUACAACACGUGCGGCUUUGUUCGCUGGGCUUUCACCGCGCACCGGGGCUGCCCAUCGCCUUGUGAGCCCUGUCUCCUCAGCUGUCCUGACAGCCCAGGAGUACUGCUAGCAUUCCCAUCUCACAGACGGGGAAGCUGAGGUUCUGAGAGGUCCCGUGGCUUGCUACAGUCCCCAAAAUAACAGAUGGUGCUGAAAUUCUAAUUCUUAUGGAAGAACUGGUGGGCCUCAUCCCUGGAGUCGAACCACUUCAUAGAGCAAGAAACAUAAGGGACCAGGACUUGCCUGGUGGUCCAGUGGCUAAGACUCCGUGCUCCCAAUGCAGGCGGCCUGGGUUCAAACCCUGGUCAGGGAACUAGAUCCCACAUACUGCAGCUAAGGCCUGGAACAGCCAAGUAAGUAAAUUAACAUUUUUGAAAAAGAAAGAGACACAAGGGACCAGUGAAGAGGAGCACAGUUUGCAGAAGAGAGAUUAGGCCCAUUUACAUUCAUUGCUGGACCCUGGUUAAAGUCACUGGUGAGACUCGAAGGUGGUGCCCGUGCUGGGCCCGUGAGUGCCCUCCACUGCAGAGGGUACUGCCCCAGGGACACUCCCAGCCCCCAGGAUCUGGAAGUCAUUGGCCGAUUUAAAAGCACACGCAGGGUGUGCCAGCUGGUGUCGCUUUCUCAUCAAAAUGUAUUGAUGCUGCAGCCCAACCCCUGGGGAGGAGACAGCAGCAUUGUGCCCAGCUGAGCAGGGAGGGGAGCUGCAGCUGCAGGUUGACAUGAGAGGAGGGCUCAGGGCGACGAGGGGAUGGUGGCAAGGGGCCAAGGCCCGGGGAGCUGGGCUACAGCCAGUGCAUAUCUGUGGGGCCUUGCCAGGCAGCCUGCCAGCCAGAACCCAGAGAUGGGAGGAGCUUCAGUGCUGCUCCAGGACGGGGCGGGUGAGACCUUGGGUUCAAGCUCCACUGGGCUUGGCAAGAGGCCCCUCCUCCACGGCCGGGAAACAAAGCAAAGCCACGACUCCCAGAGUAGGACUGUGUGAGAGCCAGGAUCCCCUGGGUGGAAAUGAGAGCCGGCAGGCCAGGCUGGGGGCAGGCUGGCAGGAGCCAUCCAUGCCCCAGGUCAGGGCUGCCUGUGCCUGGGUGGAGGCUGUACCUAUAGAUGGUUAAUGAGUACUGACAGCUCAAGAGGCUGACUGUGGUCUGGAUGGACCAUUGCACGGCCAGCACUUGCCCUGAGCCCAUACUGCCUUAGUCCUUUGUAACUGAGCAGGUUACAGAGGCCUUAUAUUUUUAGCCACACUUUGCUUUAUUUUCUCUCGUGUGUGUGCAUGCUAGGUCGCUUCACUUGUGUCCGACUUUUUGCAGCUCCAUGGACCGUAGCCUGCCAGAAUCCCAUGGAGGGAGGAGCCUGGUGGGCUACAGUCCAUGGGGUCGCAAAGAGUCAGACACGACUGAGCUACUUCACUCACUUUCACUUUCACUGUGUGUACAGGAGAGAGAGACCCUCAGAGAGAGAGAGAGAAGUAAGGAGAGAGAGGAUGGAUGGGGAAUGACUUGUGUGAGUGUGGACAGAGAAAGGAAGCCAGACUUGACUGCAUCCUGCUGGCUGGGGGCACAGAGGAACCGUUGGUUUUCGCUUUGUCUCUAUCUACACUCUUUCCAAGUGGCCCCCUGAGCUCUUUAUAAACACCGGCAUUCUGGCUGAGAAAGACUUGCCUACAUCCAAGGGUGGCAGAGGGGAACAGGAGACACAGUGUUGGUCUGGGAACUGCCCUUCAGCCCACAGGAAAUCAGCUCAAGUGAGUUUUGUCUCUGUCAGUCAUCCUCCUGGUUUUUUUUUUUUUUUUUUUCACCCUGGGGAGAACAAAUUAGCAUGCCAGCAGAAGACAGGGGAGCCCACAGGGCCCAAGGCUGCCAUGCUGGGGCGUGAGUUAGAGGGCUUGUCUCCAGGCCAACAGGUACCGCAUUUUGUCCACCCUGUGGAGGUCCUACUGGCGUGCCAUGUGAGGCAGUGGGGGUUUGAGGGGCAAGACCCGUCACUGUCUUUGAGGGGCUUGCACUGAGUUGGCAGAAGACACACUUGAAAUGUUUGAGUGGGAUAUAAUUAACUACCAAGCGAGACUACAUCAGCCCUGCCUCCUCUCAGAGAGGAGCACCCAUGUGUUGCCAAGACACUCAGGCAAACCAGCCUGGUUGCUGCCUGAGGGGAGACCUGAUGUGGAGAUUCUGGCACUUAACAAAUUCUAAUCAAACAUAUACCACUCAUCAAGCCCUGUUCUAGGUAAUAGCAGUAAGCAGAAGAUAGAAGGAAAUGCUAUAGUUAGUUGUCGUCAUUCAGUAGCUAAGUGGUGUCAGAGUUUGACCCCAUAGACUGCAGCAUACCAGGUUCCUCCGUCCUCCAAUAUCUCCCAGAGUUUGCUCAGAUUCAUGUCCAUUAAGUCAGUGAUACCAUGUAACCAUCUCAUCCUCUGCCACCCACUUCUUUUGCCUUCAGUCUUUGCCAGUAUCAGGGUCUUUUCCAAUGAAUCAGUGCUAUAGCUAUAGCUAGGACCUUGAUUUCAGUAAGAUUUCUUAUAAUUUUUUCACAUUAUUGUUAUUAUUAUUUUUUUGGCCAUGCUAUGUGGCUUGUUGGAUCUUAGUUCCACUGGACUGCCAGGGAAGGCCCUCAUAUUAUUAUUAUGGAUAAUAUGAAGAAAUGUGGGCUGAAUGGUGCAGUAAGGAAGACACCGUAACUAACACAUGAUUCAGCCUACAAAGGAUGUUGAUCAGUUUCAACCUGGGUGGAGGUCUCCAGUAGGCUCUGGUUUUGGAAAUGUCUCCCUCAAUUUUCCCGUGCAAAUUUAUAAAACACGAUAUAAAAACACCCAUAACUUUCUAUAUUAACCAGUUGUUAAAACUCUGCCACAGUAGCGCUCACACUCUUUCUAAUACACAAAUGCACCCUCACAACCCACUUGUUUUGGCUUAAGCGUAUGAAAGUAAGCUGUAGACAUCAUGAUACGUCGACAGACCUCAGCAGGCAUCUCCAAAGAACAAUGACAUUCUCCUAAGAACACAGUACCAUUAUUGUACCUAAGAAAAUGAACAAUAAUGCCAUAAUAUCAUCUGAUACACAGUGUGUGUUAAAAUUUCUCAGUUGCUCUGUGGCCUUUUUUUUUCCCUUCAGGAUUUCAAUCAAGGUUCACAUAUUGCAUUUGAUUAUCAUGUCUUUUUCAUUUUCUUCUUCUUUUUUUUCUUCUUUUUUGUUUUCUAUCCUAAAACAGUGCUCUUGUCCUUUUUGUCUUUUCAUCAGUUUGACCUUUUUGAAGAGUCCAAGCUAUUUGUCUUGUAGAAGCUGAAUGUUUCCUGUUGCAUCCUCAUGAUUAGAUCUGGGUUACGUACUUUUGAUACAAUUGUUGAUGAGUUGUGUACUUUUUAUUGAAUCAUAUCAGGAGGUGAAUGAUAUCAGGUAGUCCCACUACCAAUGAUGUUACUUUUGGCCACUUGAUUAAUAUGGUGGCCACUGGGGGGAAAAAAAGAUAGUGGUGUGCUCCCUUAGAGAAACAUUUUCCCACUGGUCAUUAGUAAGUCAUCUGUGGGUCAGACUUUGAGACUUUGUUUCCUUUUUGGGUUUUUUUUUUUGGCUGUACCACACAGCAUGUAGGAUUUUAGUUCCCCAACCAAGGAUCAAACCCACGCUUCCUACAGUGGAAGCUUUGAAUCUCAGCCACUGGACAACCAGGGAAAUGUCAGAGAUCUUGUUAACAUAGUUUCCUAACAAUCUUCCACCCAAAGGUUUAGCAUCCAUUAGUUAUCCUUGCUUGAAUCUAGAUUUUCUAAGUCUAUCAUUUCCUCUACGUCUAUCAGGCAGCAGUUUUCUAUAGAGAAAAUUGUUCCUUCUAGCCCUUUUCUUUCUCUCUCUGCUUUGCUGAGUUUUACUGUAGACUAAUGGAUUGUUUCGUUUUUAUGCAUUAGAAUCCAUUAUUACUUCAUUAUGCUUUCUGAUGCUCAAAUGGUCCCAAGUUUGGUCAUCAAGCUGGCCCUAUAUCCUUUUGACAUGACCCCAUUAGUCUUUAGUCACUUCCUUGUUUUCUGGCCCAACACAAUGUCCCAGGUUCACUUUGUACUUUCCCUUUCAUUUCUCCAGGGAGUUCUGUUGCCUUUUAUGGAAGAGUGAUAUUUAGACACCAAGAAGUGGGUGCUAGGUCUGCUCAUCUAAUAUUUUUAUCAGUGACUUGAAUAAUGGUCAAGAAUGCUGAUCAGAUUUAUACAUGACUCAAAACUGGGAGGGGAAGCCAAGUGUAUGAUAGAAUCAAUAUUCACAAUGACCUCUACAGGAUGAGAUCUGGACCAGAACCGAUGUAAAGGAGAUCAAUACAAAGUCUUGUGUGCAGGUUAAAAAAGUUAAUUGCAUCAUUUCUGGUUUCAGGGAAUUCCAGACCAAAGUUGAUAUCAAAAAGGAGCUCCAGUUGUCAGUUGACAUGGGCCUGCAGUAUUGGACUCUGAGGCUGCAUUCAUUUAUUCAUUCACUCAGCCAGUACUGACUGAGAGUUAACCAUAUGGCAGACACUGUUCUAGAGGCUACAGAUAGCUUACUUAACCAGCCAAAGGAGCAAAAAUACUUGCCCUCCUCAGUCAAGAUUUUUUGAGGGUAAGAAGGCAGGUAGGAGGUUCAGACAAUAAAGAAAAACCACAACAAAUAAGCAAAUCAUAGAGUGUAUUAGAAGAUGAUGAGCACUUCAAAAAAACAUCUCAGGGAAAGGAGAAUAUUGGGCGAACUUCAGAUUCUUCAAGAAGGUGAUCGUCUUUCUUUUUUUUAAUUGGAGUAUAAUUGAUUUACACUGUUGUUUUAGUUUCAAGAGCACAGGAAAGUGAAUCUUUUAUACAAAAUCCUGCAUCCACUCUUUUUUAGAUUUUUUUCUUUUCCCAUAUAGGUCAUUACAGAGUAUUGAGUAGAAUUUCCGGUGCUAAGUCCUUAUUAGUUAUCUGUUUUGUACAUAGUGGUAUGUAUGUGUCAGACCCAAUCUUCCAAUUUAUCCCUCCCUCCCCUCUACCCUGCAACCAUAAGUUUAUUUUCUACAUCUGUAACUCUAUUUCAGUUUUGUAGAUAAAUUCAUUUGUAGCCUUUUUAUAUUUAUUUUUAAUUGGAGGAUAAUUGCUUUAAAUGUUGUAUUGGUUUUUGCUGUACAACAAAGUAAAUCACCCUCAAGUAUACAUAUAUCCCUUCCCUCUGGAACCUCCAUCUCACCCCUCUAAGUUGUCACAGAGCGCUGGGUUGAGCCUCCAGUGUUACACAGCAACUUCCUAUUAGCUAUCUGUUUCACAUAUGGUAAUGUAUAGGUUUCAAUUCAUUCCACCCUCUCCUUCCCAGCUGUGACCACAAGUCUGUUGUAGCCUUUUUUUAGAUUCCACAUAUGAACAACAUCAUAUGAUAUUUGUCUUUUUGUCUGACUUAACUUCACUCAGUAUGAUAAUCUCUAGGUGCAUCCAUGUUGCUGCAGAUGACAUUAUUUUGUUCUUUUUUUGUGACGAAGAAGGUGAUCUUUGAGGAAAGAUUUGAAGGAAACGAGAAACGCAAUCACUUUCUGGGUAGAGAACUCCAGGCAGAGGGAGGAGCCAGGGCAAAGGUCUUAACACAAGCGUGUUCGUCCACGUGAAUGCCUGGGGUAGAGUGACUGAGGGGUGGGGAGAGCAAUGGAUGAUGCAGUGGGCGUGGGGGCGAGGUAACCUGGAGCCUUGCACACUACUGUAAGAACCACUGGAGGGUUUCGAGCACAGGAGUGCCAUGACCUGACUUUGUUUUUGAAAAGCUCAUUGGCUGCUGAGUUGAGAACAGUUUGAGAACAGCUCAAGGGUAGUCAAAGUGAAAGUCGCUCAGUCGUGUCCGACCAUUUGUGACCACAUAGACUAGAGUCCAUGGAAUUCUCCAGGCCAGAAUAUUGGAGUGGGUAGCCGUUCCCUUCUCCAGGGGAUCUUCCCAACCCAGGGAUCGAACCCAGGUCUCCCGGAUUGCAGGCAGAUUCUUUACCAGCUGAGGCACCAGGAAAGCCCAAGGGUAGUCAAAGCUAUGGUUUGGAAUCCAGUAGUCCUGUACGGAUGUGAGAGCUGGACAAUAAAAAAGGCUGAGCACUGAAGAUUCAAUGCUUUCAAAUUGUGGUGCUGGAAAAGACUCCUGAGAGCCCCUUGAACUGCAAGGAGAUCAAACAAGUCAAUCCUAAAGGAAAUCAACCCUGAAUAUUCAUUGAAAGGACUGAUGCUCCAAUACUUUGGCCACCUGAUUUGAAGAGCUGACACAUUGGAAAAGACCCUGAUGCUGGGAAAGAUUGAAGGCAGGAAGAGAAGGGGAUGACAGAGGAUGAGAUGGUCAGAUGGUAUCACCGACUCGAUAGACAUGAGUUUGAGCAAACUCAGGGAGUUGGUGAUGGACAGAGAAGCCUGGCAUGCUGUACUCCAUGGGGUCGCAAAGAGUCAGACACGGCUGAGCGAUUGAACAACAAGUGUAGAAACUUCUCAGGUGGUGCUAGUGGUAAAGAACCUGCCUGAACGCAGGAGAUGCCAGAGAUGUGGGUUCGAUCCCUGGGUUGGGAAGAUCCCUGGAGUAAGAAAUGGCAACACCCUCCAGUAUUCUUGCCUGGAAAACUCCACGGGCAGAGAAGCCUGGUGGGCUACAGUCAGUGGGGUCACAGAGUCGGACACGAGAAGCGGGCAGUAACUGGGAUUCCAGGAGGUAGUAAGUGGUCAGAUUAUAGAUUUGCUAGUGGAUUGAGUAUGAGGAGCAAGAGAAGAGAAAGGAAUUAAAGUUUUUAACCUGAGCAAUUCAAAGACAGACUUGCCAUUAAAUGGGAUGGAGAAGCUCACACUGAUGGAGCAUGUUCUGGAACCACAUUAAAUUUUAGAAACCUAUCAGAUAAGACAGCCUUGUAGAAAUGUCAAGGCCAUUUGGAAUUUAGGACAAAGGUCCUAGGUACAGGGCUUCUCGGGUGGCACAGUGGUAAAGCAUCCACCUGCCAAGGCAGGAGGUUCAGGUCUGAUCCCUGGGCUGAGAAGAUCCCCUGGAGGAGGAAAUGGCAACCCACUCCAGUAUUCUUGCUGGGGAAAAUCCCAUGGACAGAGGAGCCUGAUGGGCUACAGUUUAUGGGGUCACAAAGAGUCCAACAUGACUGACUGAGCACACACCUAGCUACAGACAGAAGCGUGGACGUCACUGACUAAAGAUGUUUUGACACCAUUGAUACGGCAAGGUGUCCCAGGCCUGGGUAAUGCUAGAACUAUGGGUAGUCGGUGCUGCCCACGUGCCAGGCAGAAUUCUGUGUCCCGUGCUGGACAGCCCUUUAAAAAGGGGGCCACCAGUCUAGAAGGUGGAGAUACAGAGAUCAUGGAAGCUUGACUGUGUGUGAGGAGACCUGGGACCAUGUGAGCACUGUGCCCACCCCUUGUCAGUCACCCUGUGGGAGGCCCUGGGAGUAGGGCAAGAGGCAAUGGUGCUGGCUCUGAGAAAGCUCAUUGUGGGCUGGGGGUGAAGAGGAACUUUCCAGCCACUGCAGCUAAUUCCUGGAGAAACUGUCCCUACUGCCAUGGAAAUGACUGGCAGAGGUUUUCCAAGUCCUUUUGACUUGGACUACCGGAAGAAAUUACAUUUUACUGUGAUCCUGUGCAAGGGCUUCCCCGGGGGGCGCUAUUAGUAAAGAACCUUCCUGCCAGUGCAGGAGGCGUAAGAGACACGGGUUGGAUCCCUGAGUUGGGAAGAUCCCCUGGAGGAGGGCAUGGCAACCCACUCCAGUAUUCUUGCCUGGAGAAUCCCAUGGACAGAAGGGCCUGGUGGGCUACAGUCCAUGGUGUCGCAGAGUCAGACAGGACCCAAGCACCACACGAGGCAUGCACGAAAUCCUGUGCUCACUUGAGAAAAGCUGAACUGGGCGUCCUAAAUGUUCCCUAUCCUUUCUAUGAUCUUUGCACUUUGAUAUCUUCCAUUCAGUUUCUUUGUUUUAAUGUUAAUAGGGAUUCACUAUUGGAGAAGGAAAUGGCAACCCGCUCCAGUGUUCUUGCCUGGAGAAUCCCAGGGACUGUGGAGCUUGAUGGGCUGCCGUCUAUGGGGUCGCACAGAGUCGGACACGACUGAAGCGCUUAGCAGCAGCAGCAGCAGAGAUCCACUAAGGGAUCCUGUGCGCAGUUUGAAAACCCUGGUCUCAGCACAACUGAACUCCACCCCUGGGGACGCACGAGGACCGGGGGUGGGUGCUCUGGGAUUCCAGCCUUAGGGAGUACUAUCCGCUCCAGGCCAUGUGCAGUUGUGGAGAAGUCUCACGUCCUUGGCAGUACAUUAAAUCCUAUUAUCCCACUUAAGCUAAUUUUGCCCGGAUUCCCCCCCAUCCGAGGUCUGGCUUCGUGUGAACAGAAUUCCAAGCGUGGAUGACCACGCGGGCAUCUAGAUUAAGUGUCAAGCCUGGAGUGAACCCUCAGCCAAGACCUAAAAUGGACCAACCCAUGCAAAAAUUAGGUGCAGAAGCAGCUAGCCCCGGAGUCCGCAGCAGCUCGGCGGAGUUCAUUUGGUUACCGAUAUGUGGGUGCCAGGAGCACUGGAGGCGGGGGGGGGACGGGAGGCGGCAGGGAUAAAGGGAGAAGACACGCGCUCACAGUGGAGAGACCCACACGUAUUCCCAAACAAACGCGCUGAGGGUCCCCGAGGAGCCGGAAGGGG
ensembl:lncRNA